AGGAUUUUUUGGCUACAAAACUGCGAUCUUCAUCGAGAACCUCGGUCCGGACUUUAGGAACGACGAGACAUUUUUUUCUGUCUUUGCCAUCUUCUUCCCAGCAGCCACUGGGAUUUUGGCCGGAGCUAAUAUCUCCGGAGACCUUGCGGACCCUCAGUCUG